UCAAAAAACCCUAUUUGCAAUGCCGGUGAGGUGGAUCAGUGCGUUGGGGGAAGAAGAAAUGGCGCGCCAUUGUUGCUGAGCUCUCAACCAUGGGCGGAGAUGUAGAAACAUUAUUUAGUCCUGAACUCAUACAAGUUCAGAGUUUUGGAGUUGAAUGCAAGUGGUGACCGUGGGAUCAAUGUUGUUCGGACUAGGAUUAAAGAUUUUGCUGGUGUUGCAGCAAGCAGUGGUCAAUGCCAUGGGUAAUUUUCUUAAUCUUAGCUAUAACAUUUUCAUAGCAUUCCUGUUAUGAACUUCACACUUGUUAGAAAAGGAAAAAGAAUUUAGGGGUUAUCCUUGUCAACCAUUCAAUAUAAUAAUUCUGGAUGACGCUGAUUCAAUGACUGAAGAUUCUCAGGUGUGAUCACAGUCUAUAUUUACUGUAUUAUAGUUUACUAUGAGUUAGUUUCUUUUUCACUUUUCCUAAUAUUGAACAUUAUGUAGAAUGCCCUGAGGCAUCCCAUGGAAGCAUACUCCAAAGUGACAUGAUUCUUUCUUAUAUGCAACUAUAUCAGCAGGAUUGUAGAGCUCUCUUGCAUCGAGGUCUGCAAAAGUUCAGGUUUAAGCCACUCUCUAAAGAGGUCUGGUAAUCUUAAUAAUUUUCGCAUUUGUUCAUGCACUCAAAGGCAGGGUAGUAUCAAGAACUUGACGAACUAUAAUUGUUCUUUAAUUAGUUAGUAGUUAGCGGAUUAAUCAUAAUUAUUAUCAUAACCAUAGGCAGUGUUUGGAUUUAGUUGCUAUUUUAGUGCGUUUUGAUGAAUAAUAAAUAUAAUUUGUUUGUCAAAGAUAACUUUUAAUAUAGGUUUCCAGCCAAGAAUAUUCCCCCUCCUCAUCAUCAUCAACACUUUCUUAUAAGGUACGCUCUUCAUAAAUAGUUCUUCAAUUAUUUGAACUCAUAACAUGCAACUGUUUUAUAUAAUUUUUUUUCUCUUUUCUUUAAUCUUGACUUUUAACUGUUAUUAAAUAAUUAUGAUAAAGUUCCACAAGAAAAUAAAACUACAAAAUUUAAAGUCUAAGACAGCAAGAACCUAAUAAAUAUGAAAGCUAAAGCUACAAAUAGAAAACAUAAACGAAUUAAAAAAUAAAAAAGACAAGAAAUCUAUGUGGGUGCAGGCAACCUAGACAAGUUGUUUGUCACCUAAAUGGGGUGCCUUGUAAGAGAACCAUUACUCAGCUCCAUGUGUUUGACCUUUAAUUAGAUGAUGAAUAUGGCAUGCAUGAACUUACACAGUUCAAGCUGCACCAAUCUCAAAAUUAAAAUUCUUUUCCAAUCAUAAUGCCAUGAGAGUCUCAUGUUUUUUAUUUAGAUUGGAUCUCGAGGCGGGACGAAGAAAGAAGAAGGUAAUUCGUUCUUUAAAAUACGACUUUGAAUAAGAUUUUUGAAGUUUUUUUUUUCUCCUUAAGAGUAAGGGACUUGGGUAUGUAUUAAUUACCGUUUAAUUAUGUUUAUAUUUAUAAUGUAACAACAUCUUUACUUUAAUUUACCAAACAAACACGACUCUCCACAAUGGUAUGAUAUUGUCCACUUUUGAGCAUAAGCUCUCAUGGCUUUGCUUUGGGCUUC